rnacentral:rRNA from 1 species
UACGUAGGUGGCAAGCGUUGUUCGGAAUUACUGGGCGUAAAGGGCGCGUAGGCGGCCUGCUAAGUCGAACGUGAAAUCCCUGGGCUCAACCCAGGAACUGCGUCCGAUACUGGUUGGCUUGAAUCCGGGAGAGGGAUGUGGAAUUCCAGGUGUAGCGGUGAAAUGCGUAGAUAUCUGGAGGAACACCGGUGGCGAAGGCGGCAUCCUGGACCGGCAUUGACGCUGAGGCGCGAAAGCCAGGGGAGCAAACGGG